UCCGUCGUGACAGGUUCUUUAACCUGAUCUUUAUUCGUCAGUCAUUAACAAUAAUCUUGACAUAAGGAUUGCAUUGAACAUUGAGCUACAAAAUAAAUUAUGAUCAGAAAUAUUUAAAUAGUCCGUCAGUGGAGGAGACAGACGUUGAGCUGCAAAUAGAUAAUAAAAUAUCAUUACAAGAACACGAUGCCAAUAUUGAA